AUAGCUAAGGCAGAUAGCUUUGUUAUUUUGAUUUGUGCCAAGAAACCUUCUUUAUUUCUUUUUGUUGCAUACCUUGCCCUUUGGGUGUAUGGUUUCAGGAUUUGAUUUGCUGCUCAAAAUUAUUUGUAUGUACCUUUUUACUUUUUGUACCCUCUAUUCCUUUCCUUAUUUUCUUUUUUAAUAAACUUUAAUUAUUUUAAAUCAACGUGUGUUUAUUCCAGAGAAAGGGGUCAGUUCCUAAAUUCAGUCCUUGCCAUUUGACCAUACUACCGUGUACUAAAGGAACGUUUUCGCCUAAGACCUCAGAAGGGGCCAGGAGGAUAUCUAGCCUCUGGUCCUGAGAGGCUCAGGUGUUCAGUGGGCUCUGGGGAUCCCUUUGCCCCAGAGUAGUUAACCAAUAGAAGGGUGGUGGCAGUACUACCGUGCAGGGUUGGUGUUGGCAUACACAACCUUAGCAGACCAGGAUUGCUAGGAUCAAUUGCCCAAGGUGGGGGAUUGAUUCCUGGGACAGUAAAAGCAGGAGGAGUAGAACUUCCUGCUUUCACUACAUAUACCACCUGAAAGCCCAUUAGGAAUAAUGUUGAGAGUAUGGGAAGACUUGCCUUGUACAAAAGACAAAGGACCCAGAAAAAUAUGAGUGUCCAGUUUGGGACCCUGUAAAAUGUUGUUCUAACACCCUAAUAGGUGAACUCGGUUUGAACUCAGUACUUAUCAAGUUUGCAUAGUGACGCAAAUGACUUGCCUUGAAUGAGGAGUUCAUAGACCCCUCUGUGGUCAAACAACCCUGCAAGUCUGAUAAUUGUUUGUUUGUCCUCCCAGUACUUUUCCUCUGUUUGUUUAAACUGAAAUUUGUGCGUGGCCACUAAGGGUGACUCUGGUUAAAGUGGUGCCAGAGGGAAAGCCUUGAUGGAGACACACAAUAUUGAUUGAAUGACCUCUCUCAUAAAUCCAGGUUUAAAUAAUCAUUUGGUGCUUUUGGCAUAUGGAAUUAAGGAUGUGACCAGAGGUAUGGACAAUGUUGUGAAGUUAAAUCAAGGCCAUUAAUUUAAGGAUCCAAUAAGGGUGAGAAUUGUGGUCUGGACAUUGUACAUGUGUCCCCUCGGAGGUUAAAAUUUGUCCAGGAGUUAGAUCUCUUUAGAGUAGGACUAGGAUAAGUUUCCAUCGAAGAAAUAGGUGUGGGAUUCAGCUGGCUUGAAUCCCCGGGUAAUGUCCACAACCACAGAAAAAGAAUUAAAUAAGCAAAAAGAAGAAGUAAAAUGUGUACAAAGGUGGUCAGUUUUACCCACUUGUCUGUGGGUUUCAUAUCAGACUUUUGCAGCAGAAAAUAAGGAAGUAAAUUCUGCAGUGCCUCCGAAAAAGGGCAUACCAGCGUCCAAAAUGUAUAAGAAAUAUGGCAUACUUCCAGUAGAAUUCUUGUCUUUGUGGCAUGCUCAUAUAAGAAAUUUAGGCAAAAAGCAGCAGUUCCCAGAAGAAAGAAUCUUCGAUUUAGAAUUAAAAUCAUUAAAAUGGCUUUGGAAGGUAGGAGUUGGUUCUCCAGUUUUGACAACUACGCCCCCCUAAAAUAAGAGGAGGGUCUAUUAAACUUCUGAUAAGUUACAGGGGAAAAGGGGCCUCUGGCCCAAACCCCGCCGUUGGAGUUUGCUGUUCAUAAGACAAAGCCAGGAGACUGGGUGUUCAUAAAAAGCUGGAAGGAAUCUAAGCUGCAGCCUGACUGGGACAGUCCUACCUUGUGUUAUUAUAAAGGAAGGAUUCCCUCCCGACACAUGGACAAGCACGGUGCAGAAAUAACUCCCUGGACAAGCACUAUGGCUGCUUCUUCGGAAGAGAACCACAGACUUGAAUUAGAGGACCAGAAUUGGACAGAUAAGGAAAGAUUUGAUAAUAAAUAAUACUCUUUUUGGGAUGGGAAUCUCAUUAUCCGGAACAAAUCGCGUGGAGUGUUGUUUCAGGAUGGUGACGCUCCCAUCACCAACCCCAAAAACUGAAAACACAGACUCAAAAAUGCCCCAGGUAAAACAAUUUAGUCCACCCCAGAUUGACCCUCAUAGGAUAAAAGUCAUAGAAGUUCAGGAUUUGACACAAACAUUUGAAGUAGAAACAGGAUAUGGAGAAGUAAAUGCUUGGGUAGAAUGGAUUAAAUAUACAGUGAAAAGCUUGAACAAAAGCAAUUGUUAUGCUUGUGCGGCCAGAAGGCCAAUAGCACAGAUAACCCCCCCUUCCCAUGGGAUGGGAUAGUCAUCCCACCGAAAUGAGUUGCUUUAAUGGCAUUAUAUCAAGGUGAGGAUGCUUGGAAGAAUGAGACAUGUCAGAAACUGUCUCUCUUAUUUCCAGCUUUAAAGGCUGACAUAAAGACACCACCAGCAUUUCUCAGAGUUGUAAUGAACUACUCUUCUUGUCUCUCAAGGCAGGAUGAAGGGUUUACUGGACCUGUAGGAAUGCUGAGUACUUGUGUCCAGACUUUGAAUGUCACAGGAAAUACUUCAGGCAAUUACUCCCAUUUGACAGUGGCCAGAGCAGACUUGUGGUGGUACUGUGGAGGAAGAACUACCCUCCCAAGAAAUUGGAGGGGAGUAUGUGCUAUUGUACAAUUGGCCAUACCAUUCACCCUUGCAUUCGAACAGAAAAAGACUCUAAAUAGGAGAACUAAAAGGGAUAUAAUAGGCUCCUCAUUUGAUGACAGAAUUUAUAUAGAUUCUAUCGGAGUUCCACGAGGAGUACCUAACGAAUUUAAAGCUAGGGAUCAGAUUGCAGCAGGUUUUGAAUCAGCUCUAUUCUGGUGGGCAACCAUAAAUAAAAAUGUGGAUUGGAUUAAUUAUAUAUUACAACCAACAGCAGUUCAUUAAUUAUACUAGAGAUGCUGUAAAAGGAGUUGCAGAACAAUUAGAUGUAACAAGUAGAAUGGCCUGGGAAAACAGGAUGAUAUUGAAUAUGAUCUUAGCCGAAAAGGGAGGAAUAUGUGUAAUGCUUGGGGGAAGUUGUUGUACAUUUAUCCCAAAUAACACCGCCCCAGAUGGAACCAUCACCAAGGCAUUACAGGGUCUUACUACUUUAGCAGAGGAACUAGCCGAAAACUCGGGAAUAGAUGACUCACUCACCGGGUGGUUGGAUUCCUGGUUUGGGAAAUGGAAAGGGAUGGUAAUAUCAAUACUCACCUCCCUAAUAGUAGUAGCAGGAGUAUUAACUGCAGUAGGAUGUUGUAAGAGGUUUAACACAGAGAUUAAUAGAAAAAGCUGUAUCCAAACAAAUGCUUUUAAAACCACCUCCUUAUAAUGAAAAUAUGUUGCUCUUAGGAGAACACGAAGAAGAUCACUUAUCCCUCCAGGAAAUACAAUGCGAAACCAUGCUAUCCAGAUUGGAAGAAUCACACAGAAAUAUGAGAACUUCAUGAAAAAGCAACAGAAAAGUAUAAAAUAAAAAGAGGAGAGAUUGUGAUAUGUAUAAAAUGUGUUGCUUUUACAGAAUAUAUUACACAAUGUAACCUUGCAUAGAUCUCAGUUAAUUGCUAGAAAAGGGUAAAAGAAAUAUAGCUAAGUAGGGCAAGAAGAGACAAACUAGAAUAGAUACUAAUACCAGGAAACAGGUGCAGCAUAGACAGUUUGUGGUUAAGUUCUGCUCUGUCUGUUGAUACAGGAGGGGGAUACUAGGAGGGAGGAAGAUAUACCAUAUAUGGGUAAUAAUAAAUAUGAGUAUGGGGGAGCUAAAAUAUGAGUAGUGGGAGAUGUAAACAGAGGCGGGACUUCCUGUGACAUGAAUAGGCGGCAUGGAUAGGCUGUAAACCCUGAAGUACUCGACCAAUGAGGAAACAGGGGAGGGAAUGAAGCGUCGGGCUAUAGGAUAAAAGAACUGUACCAAUGUCACUUGGGUGUGCCUACCUUGUGGACACCCGCUCUUGCAAGAACGUUUAAUAAAGUUUAAGUUACUGCUUCA